rnacentral:rRNA from 1 species
GACGAACGCUGGCGGCGUGCUUAACACAUGCAAGUCGAACGAAGAGCGAUGGAAGCUUGCUUCUAUCAAUCUUAGUGGCGAACGUGAGUGUAACGCGUAAACAAUCUGUCCUUCAGUGGGGGACAACAGUUGGAAACGACCGCUAAUACCACAUACGAUCUAAUCUCGGCAUCGAGGAUUGAUAAAAGGUGUCCCUUACAUGUAAGCUAUCACUGAAGGAGGGUAUUCCGUCUGAUUAGCUAGUUGGUGGGGUAACGGACUACCAAGGCGAUGAUCAGUAGCCGGUCCGAGAGGGUGAACGGCCACAUUGGGAAUGAGGCACGGCCCAGACUCCUACGGGAGGCAGCAGGGGGGAAUCUUCCGCAAUGGACGAAAGUCUGACGGAGCAACGCCGCGUGAGUGAUGAAGGCCUUCGGGUUGUAAAGCUCUGUUAAUCGGGAAGAAAGGUCUUCUUGCGAAAAUGGGGAAGGAUUGACGGUACCGGAACAGAAAGCCACGGCUAACUACGUG